rnacentral:rRNA from 1 species
AGAGUUUGAUCCUGGCUCAGGAUGAACGCUAGCUACAGGCUUAACACAUGCAAGUCGAGGGGUAACGACAGCGAAAGCUUGCUUUUGCUGGGCGACGACCGGCGCACGGGUGAGUAACGCGUAUCCAACCUGCCCAUAACUAAGGGAUAAUCCGUAGAAAUGCGGUCUAAUACCUUAUGUGUUCCGACGAGGACAUCUGAAUUGGAAUAAAGAUUUAUCGGUUAUGGAUGGGGAUGCGUCUGAUUAGAUUGUUGGCGGGGCAACGGCCCACCAAGUCUACGAUCAGUAGGGGUUCUGAGAGGAAGGUCCCCCACAUUGGAACUGAGACACGGUCCAAACUCCUACGGGAGGCAGCAGUGAGGAAUAUUGGUCAAUGGGCGAGAGCCUGAACCAGCCAAGUAGCGUGCAGGAUGACGGCCCUAUGGGUUGUAAACUGCUUUUGUAUGGGGAUAAAGUGCUCCACGUGUGGAGUUUUGUAGGUACCAUACGAAUAAGGACCGGCUAAUUCCGUGCCAGCAGCCGCGGUAAUACGGAAGGUCCGGGCGUUAUCCGGAUUUAUUGGGUUUAAAGGGAGCGUAGGCCGUGGAUUAAGUGUGUUGUGAAAUGUAGGCGCUCAACGUCUGACUUGCAGCGCAUACAUGGUUCACUUGAGUGCGCGCAACGCGGGCGGAAUUUGUCGUGUAGCGGUGAAAUGCUUAGAUAUGACGAAGAACCCCGAUUGCGAAGGCAGCUCGCGGGAGCGCAACUGACGCUGAAGCUCGAAAGUGCGGGUAUCGAACAGGAUUAGAUACCCUGGUAGUCCGCACGGUAAACGAUGGAUGCCCGCUUUUCGGUCAUUAGACCGUGAGGCCNAGUGAAAACAUUAAGCAUCCCACCUGGGGAGUACNNCGGCAACNNNNAAACUCNAAGGAAUUGACGGGGGCCCGCACAANCNGAGGAACAUGUGGUUUAAUUCGAUGAUACGCGAGGAACCUUACCCGGGCUUGAAUUGCUGGUGAACGAUACAGAGAUGUUGAGGUCUUCGGGACACCAGUGAAGGUGCUGCAUGGUUGUCGUCAGCUCGUG